rnacentral:rRNA from 1 species
AACUCUCAACAACGGAUAUCUUGGCUCUUGCAACGAUGAACNAACGCAGCGAAAAUGCGAUACGUAGUGUGAAUUGCAGAAAAACCGUGAACCAUCGAAUCUUUGAACGCACAUUGCGCUGGAGGCUUCGGCCAACAGCAUGUCUGCCUCAGCGUCG